NNNNNNNNNNNNNNACACAUGCAAGUCGAACGGUAACGCGGNGCAACCUGGCGACGAGUGGCGAACGGGUGAGUAAUACAUCGGAACGUACCCAGUAGUGGGGGAUAGCCCGGCGAAAGCCGGAUUAAUACCGCAUACGACCUACGGGUGAAAGCGGGGGAUCGCAAGACCUCGCGCUAUUGGAGCGGCCGAUGUCAGAUUAGGUAGUUGGUGGGGUAAAGGCCUACCAAGCCUGCGAUCUGUAGCUGGUCUGAGAGGGCGACCAGCCACACUGGGACUGAGACACGGCCCAGACUCCUACGGGAGGCAGCAGUGGGGAAUUUUGGACAAUGGGCGCAAGCCUGAUCCAGCCAUGCCGCGUGCGGGAAGAAGGGCCUUCGGGUUGUAGACCGC
rnacentral:rRNA from 1 species